rnacentral:rRNA from 1 species
UGCCUGGUAGCGGGGGAUAACUAUUGGAAACGAUAGCUAAUACCGCAUAAGAGUAGAUGUUGCAUGACAUUUGCUUAAAAGGUGCAAUUGCACCACUACCAGAUGGACCUGCGUUGUAUUAGCUAGUUGGUGGGGUAACGGCUCACCAAGGCGACGAUACAUAGCCGACCUGAGAGGGUGAUCGGCCACACUGGGACUGAGACACGGCCCAGACUCCUACGGGAGGCAGCAGUAGGGAAUCUUCGGCAAUGGACGGAAGUCUGACCGAGCAACGCCGCGUGAGUGAAGAAGGUUUUCGGAUCGUAAAGCUCUGUUGUAAGAGAAGAACGAGUGUGAGAGUGGAAAGUUCACACUGUGACGGUAUCUUACCAGAAAGGGACGGCUAACUACGUGCCAGCAGCCGCGGUAAUACGUAGGUCCCGAGCGUUGUCCGGAUUUAUUGGGCGUAAAGCGAGCGCAGGCGGUUAGAUAAGUCUGAAGUUAAAGGCUGUGGCUUAACCAUAGUACGCUUUGGAAACUGUUUAACUUGAGUGCAAGAGGGGAGAGUGGAAUUCCAUGUGUAGCGGUGAAAUGCGUAGAUAUAUGGAGGAACACCGGUGGCGAAAG